UUUUUUUUUUUUGAGAUGGAGUUUCCCUCUUGUUGCCCAGACUGGAGUGCAAUGGCACGAUCUCAGCUCACUGAAACCUCCGCCUCCCAGGAUCAAGCGAUUCUCCUGCCUCAGCCUCCCAAGUAGCUGGGAUUACAGGCACCCGCCACCACGCCCAGCUAUUUUUUUGUACUUUUAGUAGAGACAGGGUUUCACCAUGUUGGCCAGGCUGGUGUUGAACUCCUGACUUCAGGUGAUCCACCUGCCUCGAUCUCCCAAAUUGCUGGGAUUACAGGUGUGAGCCACUGUGCCAGCCCUUGAAUUUCUCCUAGCCCUUCAGUUCCUCCAGCUUCAUGCCUCCCAAGGUUGCACCCCCCAGGGCCUGCCCUGCAGUCCUGGGGCAGGGCCCCUUCUCUGAGGGGAUGAAGGGGGCACUUCCCUGAACAGAGAGAGAGGGAGACCCACACCACUUGGAUUAAACUCCCCAGGCCCCAGCUGACUCUACAACUUGGCCAAGAAACCCUAUCUCCUAGGGCCUCAGUGUUUUAGUCCAUAAAAUGGUUCUUGAACCUUUAAAAUACACUCUUUUGUAGAGUUGAAACACUUUGCAGACCUGCACUCUGUGACAGUAGUUGAACUUUAAAAAUCCUUUGAUUAAAAAGAAGACAAAUGGUCAUCUGCAAGGAUACCUUCAUCAAUGCUUUAAUUUUUAAAAAAUUUUAUUUAUUUAUUUUUGAGACGGAGUUUCACUCUUGUUGCCCAGGCUGGAGUACAAUGACGUGAUCGCGGCUCCCCACAACCUCCACUUCCCGGGUUCAAGCAAUUCUCCUGCCUCAGCCUCCCGAGUAUUUGGGAUUACAGGCAUGCACCACAACACCCUGCUAACUUUUUGCAUUUUAGUAGUUUUUCCAUGUUGGUCAGGCUGUUCUCAAACUCCUAACCUCAGGUGAUCUGCCCACCUUGGCCUCCCAAAGUGCUGGGAUUACAAGCAUGAGCCACUGCACCCGGCCUGCAAUGCUUUUAGAUGAGUGUAUAUUUUAUUCAACAGCCCUAAAUACAUUUGAAAAUGUGUCCCCUUGACUAGGUGUGGUGCAACAGAGUGAGACUCUGACUCCAAAAAAAAAAAAAAAAGAAAAAAAGAAAAUGUGUUCCCUAUGUGGGAGGCAUCAGCCUGUGGAUGAUGCAGAUUCCUAAGGGGCUUGAGGCUCCCGGCGUGCGUGAAUUUGUGUCUUUGAGGGGACGGAUAGCCCUGGAAUUAGUUGAUUUCUCCUUGGCCCUCCCGGGGCAGACCGAGGGACUCAGGGACACCAAAUGGGUAGUCCCUGACUCAAAUUCAAAGUUCAACAGUGACUGACCAGAAUGUACAGUGUAGUGGCUUCUCUUUAACAUGUGGAUCCUGCCUUGGAUGCCUGCCAGGGCUUCCAUCCUUGCUCUGCCACUAACCAGCUCUCCUGCCAAGGUAUGCCACUUUAUCUCGUGGGCCCCAGCAUUGUCACCUAUAAAAUGGGGUUGAUAGUACUUGUGAGUUU
rnacentral:lncRNA from 1 species